AGAGUUUGAUCCUGGCUCAGAACGAACGCUGGCGGCGUGCCUAACACAUGCAAGUCGAGCGAGAACGCCUGCUUCGGCAGGUUAGUAAAGCGGCGAACGGGUGAGUAACACGUGAGUCACCUACCCUCCAGUAGGGGAUAACACUUCGAAAGGUGUGCUAAUACCGUGUACGAUCCCGACCGUGUCUGCGGAUGGGACGAAAGGUGGCCUCUCUAUAGAAGCUGCCGCUGGGGGAUGGGCUCGCGCCCCAUUAGCUAGUUGGUAGGGUAACGGCCUACCAAGGCAACGAUGGGUAGCUGGUCUGAGAGGACGAUCAGUCACACUGGAACUGAGACACGGUCCAGACUCCUACGGGAGGCAGCAGUGGGGAAUAUUGCACAAUGGGGGAAACCCUGAUGCAGCAACGCCGCGUGCGGGAUGAAGGCCUUCGGGUCGUAAACCGCUGUCAGGGGGGAAGAAAUCGCUCCGGUGAAUAGCCGGAGUGGAUGACGGUACCCCCAGAGGAAGCCCCGGCUAACUCCGUGCCAGCAGCCGCGGUAAGACGGAGGGGGCGAGCGUUGUUCGGAAUCAUUGGGCGUAAAGCGCGCGUAGGCGGUCGAGUAAGUCGGACGUGAAAGCCCAGGGCUCAACCCUGGAAGUGCGUUCGAUA
rnacentral:rRNA from 1 species